rnacentral:rRNA from 1 species
UGGGGAAUAUUGGGCAAUGGGCGCAAGCCUGACCCAGCAACGCCGCGUGAGGGAAGAAGGCCUUCGGGUUGUAAACCUCUGUCCUUGGUGACGAAAAAAAUGACGGUAGCCAAGGAGGAAGCCCCGGCUAACUACGGGCCAGCAGCCGCGGUAAUACGGAGGGGGCGGGCGUUGUCCGGAAUUACUGGGCGUAAAGGGUGCGUAGGUGGCCUUUUAAGUUGGAUGUGAAAUACCCGGGCUUAACUUGGGGGGUGCAUCUAAUACUGGAGGGCUAGAGUGCAGGAGAGGGAAGCGGAAUUCCUAGUGUAGCGGUGAAAUGCGUAGAUAUUAGGAGGAACACCAGUGGCGAAGGCGGCUUUCUGGACUGUAACUGACACUGAGGCACGAAAGCGUGGGGAGCAAACA